UACGAGUGCUUCGAGCGUUAUCCGGAAUCAUUGGGCGUAAAGGGUGUGUAGGCGGCGAUGUUAGUCUCGCGUUAAAUCUUUCGGCUCAACCGAGAGUCUGCGUGGGAAACGGCAUUGCUUGAGGAUGGUAGGGGUCUCUGGAACUCUAGGUGUAGCGGUGAAAUGCGUUGAUAUCUAGGGGAACACCAAAAGCGAAGGCAAGAGACUAGACCACUCCUGACGCUGAAACACGAAAGCGUGGGUCGCGAAUGGG
rnacentral:rRNA from 1 species